UUCUCUUCCCUUUUGAGUGUUCUUCAUAUUCUACAUUACUUUGGUAUCAAAGCUUUUGAUCUUUUUGCUUGUGGAAAUUACCCAAAGAUACAUAUGAAGUUUAUCAUCAAAAAAGAAUUUUACAAAUAGGGCAAACUUUUAUCUCGAAAACUUCCAAAUUAAACUAACCUCUGAACUCAAGUAACAUACAUCAAGAGAUGCAUUCUCGCGUCAAAUGAAUUCGAAAUCCAACUAUUACUACCAUUGAAACCAUUUGCUAUUGUUGCUUAACAACUUCUUCAUGUUAUGUCAAUUUAUUACAAAACCUAACUGUCUCUCCUUUAUUGUUAGUGUACUUUGUGAAGGACUAUGCUAAGGGCCUCAUUUUACUUAAUUGAAAUGAGAAUCUAAGAAUGGGAAUGAAAUCUCCAUUCUUAUUCCUUGCAUAUUUACUAACCAGGAAUAACAAGAAUGUUUAUUUAUCAACUGAAAAGAAGGCUUUUAAUACCUGAUUUUAUCCCCAUAUGACAGAUAUUAGAAAAUUUGACUAGGAAAGAAUUUAAGCUUCUGUAAUUUUUUUUCCCUUUUUCCUUUUUUUUCCCUUUCAAAUAAGGAACUUUGACUACACCUAAUGGUAUGCAUUACACCCAUCAAGCAUCACCAAGUAAAUCAACUUGAGUAACAAAGCAAUGGGCAAUUUGAAAUAAAUGAACAAACAAGAAGUCACAUUUACGUUUGAAUCUUAGCAGUUGACAUCAACAAAUAUGAGAAGUAUUGACAAAAACUUUGAUGAUAUGUUGGGGGAAAAAAAAAGGAAGAGACAGCUAACUUGCUGUAAUAAUCUGAUAGUUACCUAAAUCUUUCUUAGCCUGUUCAG
rnacentral:misc_RNA from 1 species